GUCGUAACGAUGGCUGCUACCGGUGGCAUUCGGCCGUCAUAGCAGCUGCUCAUAGACACCGCUGUGCUGCUGCAGGAUGCCCUGGUCCUGCCCAUCCCAACAUCGUCCUCACCGCAAUCGGUCACCCAGAUUGAGGCUCCAGCGGUGGAAGUAGUAGGAGCACAUUCUCCAAGCCGAUUGGGAUUCUCCAAGCCUGGUUCUCGGUGUACCAUCCUCCUGAUGUUCCGCUGGCCGAUCCUCUGUUGAAACCGUCGCCGUGAACGACCGCUCUCCCCCGCGUGCAGCAAUCUCCAGGCUCCAGAGGUCAAACGUGAAGCUGAAACGUCUCCUUGCGUUUCACGUUGGCCGUCCACUGCAACUCAAGUGGGGGCCCGGCUGGUCCUUCAAUCUG